UACGAAGGUGGCAAGCGUUGUUCGGAUUUACUGGGCGUACAGGGAGCGUAGGCGGUUGGAUAAGCCCUCCGUGAAAUCUCCAGGCUUAACCUGGAAAGUGCAGAGGGGACUGUUCAGCUAGAGGAUGGGAGAGGAGCGCGGAAUUCCCGGUGUAGCGGUGAAAUGCGUAGAUAUCGGGAGGAACAUCAGUGGCGAAGGCGACCACCUGGCCCAACACUGACGCUGAGGUGCGAAAGCGUGGGUAGCAAACAGG
rnacentral:rRNA from 1 species